UUACACAUGAUGCAAAAACAUUCUUUGAAUAACAGUGAUAGAAAUUAAUCACGAGCUUUUUAACACUGAUGAAAU